rnacentral:misc_RNA from 1 species
AAGUCGUAACAAGGUUUCCGUAGGUGAACCUGCGGAAGGAUCAUUAACACGUAUCCAACGUUAAACCCCCCUGUGAACUUUUAUACUUGCUCUCUUAACUGACGGAAUUGCAAUCCCUGGUAAAUCAUUGUUGAACAGAUUUUGAUUCAGGGACCUCAGUUUGGCAGUUAGGAUUGAGCGAUCGUUGCAAGUGGCCUGGUUUCCCCAAGCAGUCAGUGUCUGAAAGUGGCAUUGAUUGUGUAAGGAUAACGCUUUUCGAUCACUAGAGGCCGACACCGGCCGGUGACCGGGUCCCUGGGUCACCAUGCCCCUUAUAAAUCACCACACUGUAACGCCGACAGGUCGCGAUAAUUCCGCUGACCACAAAAAACCGAACAACUGUUAACAAUGGAUAUCUUGGUUCUC